ensembl:lncRNA
GAGUGACUCACUCACAAUACUAAAGACCCACAGAAAAAUGAGAAUAGAGAGUAACAUCCUCCAAUGAUGAAGAUAAGCUACAAAAAGCCUACAAAACCAAGCCUGCUCUACCACUUAUAACCGCCUUGAGUACACAAGAGAGAUCGCUACGCCCGCAGAAACCAAGUCACAGCCUGGCUGAUUUUCAGACAUGCUGGUGUCCCUCUGAACCAGCUCUCUUGUCAUCAAUCUCUACCUGCACAAACACUGCAGUGCAUGAAAAUGGAACACCAACGGGAUGAUGACAGAGCCAGCCUCAGCUACUCUUGUUCCUUGGAAGUCCUCAUAGAAGAAUUGUCAACCAGUUGUCAACCAUUUCAGCUCAUUGGAAGAGCCAAGGCAGUCAGGACUCUAUUAUACCUCAAUGUGGACACAGCUGUGACAGGUGCGGAGGGGAAAGUGGAGCCCUUGCCACAGCACUGGGUCUUCUCAAAGCCCUGGAGAAAAACUCAGUAUUCCAUCUACUCAUCUCAAUCUAAGUUUUACAAUGUUCUGGUUAAAGAGCAUUUGUCUAGAACAGAGGGGGGAAAUGUUCCACUCAUAUUCUAUCUGUACUUUGUGAUUACCAAUGGCAUCUAACAAAAGGGAAAUGAAGUAGAAGAGUGAAUUAAAUGUGGAAGGAGAGAGAAUAGACGCAGAUGCAAUAAUUAGCAAGCAUUUCUUGUCAUCAUGACAAGAAAAUUGAUUGCUUCAUACUAGGAAAGAAUAGCAAAUGAAGGACUGGAGAUUCAUGUUAGCAUUUGAGGCUAUGCAUUCAACACAAUACUUCAAAA